ACCUGAUCCGGCGACCCGUCCGGGGAGGGGACGGGGCUGCAGAAGGCCCCGCCCACAAACAGGGUCGAGGGGCGUGACCACGCUGCCGGCGGAAGUGGAGCCUAUCGCGAGAGUGCAGGACCUCGCGGGGUCCGCGAGAAAGCCAGACUAUAGGGGCGGGGUCGGGCCGGGGAUGGGGACGCGGGCGAGCAGCAGGGAGCUGCACGCGGAGUCGCGAAGCAUCGGGGACACGGCGCAGCGGCGGCGGGGACAGCAGGCCGCCCGCGGGCCGGCGGCCGGCUCAGAAAGCAUCAUGGCAGAGCAGGUGGCUCUGAGCCGGACCCAGGUGUGCGGGAUCCUGCGGGAAGAGCUGUACCAGGGCGAUGCCUUCCAUCAGGCUGAUACGCAUAUCUUUAUCAUCAUGGGUGCAUCGGGCGACCUGGCCAAGAAGAAGAUCUACCCCACCAUCUGGUGGCUGUUCCGGGACGGCCUUUUGCCCGAAGACACCUACGUCGUAGGCUAUGCCCGCUCCCGCCUCACGGUGGCUGACAUCCGCAAGCAGAGCGAGCCCUUCUUCAAAGCUACCCCAGAGGAGAAGCCCAAGCUUGAGGAGUUCUUUGCCCGCAACUCCUACGUGGCUGGCCAGUACGACGAUGCGGCCUCCUACAAGCGCCUCAACAGCCACAUGAACGCCCUCCACCAGGGGCCACAGGCCAACCGCCUCUUCUACCUGGCCUUGCCCCCCACCGUCUAUGAGGCUGUCACCAAGAACAUCCACGAGACCUGCAUGAGCCAGACAGGCUGGAACCGCAUCAUCGUGGAGAAGCCCUUCGGGAGGGACCUGCAGAGCUCCGACCAGCUGUCCAACCAUAUUGCUUCCCUGUUCCGCGAGGACCAGAUCUACCGCAUUGACCACUACCUGGGCAAGGAGAUGGUUCAGAACCUCAUGGUGUUGAGGUUUGCCAACAGGAUCUUUGGCCCCAUCUGGAACCGGGACAACAUUGCCUGUGUCAUCCUCACCUUCAAAGAGCCCUUUGGCACUGAGGGUCGCGGGGGCUACUUUGAUGAAUUUGGGAUCAUCCGGGACGUGAUGCAGAACCACCUCCUGCAGAUGCUGUGUCUGGUGGCCAUGGAGAAGCCUGCCUCCACCGACUCUGACGACGUCCGUGAUGAGAAGGUCAAAGUGUUGAAAUGUAUCUCAGAGGUGCAGGCGAGCAACGUGGUCCUGGGCCAGUAUGUGGGGAACCCCAGCGGAGAGGGGGAGGCCACCAAAGGGUACCUGGACGACCCCACAGUGCCCCGCGGGUCCACGACGGCUACCUUCGCGGCUGUCGUCCUGUACGUGGAGAAUGAGCGGUGGGAUGGGGUUCCCUUCAUCCUGCGCUGCGGCAAAGCCCUGAACGAGCGCAAGGCUGAGGUACGCCUGCAGUUCCGCGACGUGGCCGGGGACAUCUUUCGGCAGCAGUGCAAGCGCAACGAGCUGGUGAUCCGCGUGCAGCCCAACGAGGCCGUGUACACCAAGAUGAUGACCAAGAAGCCUGGCAUGUUCUUCAACCCUGAGGAGUCGGAGCUGGACCUCACCUACGGCAACAGAUACAAGAACGUGAAGCUCCCUGACGCCUACGAGCGCCUCAUCCUAGAUGUCUUCUGUGGCAGCCAGAUGCACUUCGUGCGCAGUGACGAGCUGCGGGAGGCCUGGCGGAUCUUCACUCCACUGCUGCACCAGAUCGAGCGGGAGAAGGCCCAGCCCAUCCCCUAUGUCUACGGCAGCCGAGGCCCUGUGGAGGCAGAUGAGCUGAUGAAGAGAGUGGGCUUCCAGUACGAGGGCACCUACAAGUGGGUGAACCCCCACAAGCUCUGACCCUGCACUGGGCCCGCCCCUGGCCUCGGCCCUGCAUCUCUGUGCUCCCCCCCUCCCUUCCCGACCUGCCUCGGGAGGACCCACCUCAGGAGGACUCGGGACCACAGCCCUCAAGCUCACAUUCCUGCCCGGGCUCGGGCCACCCCACCCGCGCCGGGGCCCAGUCACAUUCCUCCGCCACCCAGCACUGUGACCGUCCCCUCCUGAGCCAGCCUGUGUUUCCGGGACUGAGCCCCACCGGAAGGAAGGAAGAGGAGGGCUGCAGUUCCCGACAGGGGGCAAGGUCCUCGGAGCACAGGGGAGGAGGGCGGGCACGGCCACCCCAGCCUCAGCGCCGCUCGACAUUCCUGGUCCCCCACUGGAGGGGACCUCCGUGCUGGCCAGCAAGCCCCCUGUGUCGAGUCCCCCGAAUGUCCCCCUGCCCCCGCAGCGCUCCCCAGCACCGUAACACAGCACUCCAUGGCUGCCCCACCUCACUCCCGCCAGGUGGCGCCCUCGCCGCUGGAAAAGCAGAAGCCGCAGAAUCUUGUCGUGAGACCACCUUGGGCACAAGAACAGGUCAUAUUCGUUCCCCUCCCCCCUCUCCCCCCCGGCUGUGCCCCUGCCCCAGCCAGGGCGCUUGGAGUGCUGCUGGCCCGCCAAGGUGACAAGUAUCUAGGAAGGAGCUGCUGAGGGGCUGGGAGACAGCCACCCUGGCCUGUGUUUCCUGGGGAAGCUCAGGGCAACAGGAAGGUGUCCUCCCAGCACUGACGGCCAGAAGGCUGAGCUCCAGGGCCAGGGCCCUCCAGGGGCUCGGCUGGCCGUGUAGACCCAUCACUGCAGUCUAUCUCCAUCUUCACAUGACCUUCUCCCUGCGUGUCUGUCUCCCUCUGGUUCCCUUUACAAGAACAUGAGUCAUAUUAGCUUAGGGGCUCAAUUUACUCUAGAAGGACCUCAUCUUAACUAAGCUGAUGCUGCCUGCACACGUCCCAUUUCUGAAUAAGAGCACAUUCCGAGCUUCCAGGGGAACAUGCCCAACAGAGGCAGCGCUCCCUGGUCAUCUGUCCUGCCCUCCCGGCUCCGCUCUUCUUCUUAAAUAUUUUUAACAAUUUUUUAAAAUU